AGGAAGGGCAUCUCCUCGCUCAUCCUGCUCGCGGCAUGGUCUCUCUGGAAACACCGAAACGCCUGUGUCUUCGAUGGUUGCACCCCUUCCGUUACUCGGCUCAUGCAGUCCAUCAAGGAAGACGUGCACUCCUGGAAGUGUGCCGGUGCACAGGGCCUCUCUACGAUCGCGCCGUAG
rnacentral:rRNA from 1 species